rnacentral:lncRNA from 1 species
UUUUAACUACAAUGCUAAAAUAAUAGACCACAAUUAGCAGGAAAAAAAAUAGACUAUCAAAUUCUACAUCAACUUCAUGCAACUAUUCUUACAAAGUAAAAAGCUGUGGGCACGUUUUUAAUUUUUCAAUUCUGAUGAAUUAUAGAUUGGAAUGGCAGAGCUAUUGUAGUGUUAAUGAACUUAAAUGUUAUGUCAAGUUGUCAAAAGCAAGGUUGAAAUUGUUUCAGGAUAUUGGGAGAAAUUAGUAUCUUACCCACCUGUGCCUCCUAUACACUGGCUUUCCGAAUUCAGGUUUGUGUUGGCUGAGGCAGAAUGAUUCUUAAAAAAGCUCUGUACAAAAAUUAAAUCAUUUAAUAUAUAGUUAAGAAAAUUACUAUUUAAUAAACACACUUUUGAAUCAUUUAAGAACAGAUCCAUUAUGUUAAGAAGGAAAAAACUAUUAGGUAACCUUUUGAAUUUAUGUUAUAUUGAAAUUUCUUUUUCCUUUUUCUAUCUUAAAAGUAUGUUACUACUGUAUCUUAAUUGUGCAGUUUUAUGGAUCUCUCUGUAACAUUUCCACACAUGCAUAUCUCAUGCUUUGACCAUGUCCCUUCGUCCCUCCCCCAUUCCCCUUCACCUUUUCCUAACAGUUCCUUUUCUAUUUGGGGUUCAUCCUUAGUUUGUUUGUUUUAACUAAAAACUGUCCACAUAGGAGAGAAAGCAUGCAAUACUCAUCCUUUUGUAGUUCAUUUUCACUUAACACAAUGUCCUCCAGUUCCAUUGAUUUUUCUGCAAAUGACACAAUUGAUUCUUUGUGGCUGGAUAAUGCUGCAUUGCGGCACACACACCACAUUUCUUUCCUCUGCACUGUAGACGGGCACCUGGGCUCAUCUGUGAUGUGGCUAUUAUGGUCAUGCCACAGUGAACAUGGGCACGCAGGUCUCUCUUCUGCUUGCUGACUUUGUCCCUUUGGCCACAGACCCAGGAAUGGCAGAACUGGAUCAUAUAGUGGUCUGAUUUUUUGUUCUGUGCGGAAGCUCCACGUUGCUUUCCACAGUGGCUGUACUGAUUAGCAAUCCCAUCAGGAGUGUAUAAGGGUUCCUUUUCCUCUACAUCCUCAACAGCAUUUAUUUUAUUAUUUUAUUUUUAAAAAAUAUUUAUUUUUUUAGGUGUAGUUGGACACAAUACCUUUGUUUUAUUUAUUUAUAUUUUUUGUGGUACUGAGAAUCAAACCCAGGGGCCUCACAUGUGCCAGAUGAGUGCUCUACCGCUGAGCCACAACCCCAGCCCCUAUUUUAUUAUUUUUGAUAAAGCCAUUCCAACUGGGGUGAGAGGGAAUCCCAAUGUAGUUUUAAUUUCACUUCUUUGAUGACUAAAGAGGUUGAGCAUUUUCUCCCAUAUGUAUUGGUUAUUCCUGAUGCUUUUUUGGAGGAGUAUGUUUUGAGAAGUCUGCUCAGAUCCUUUACCUAUUAAUGGGAUUAUCUAUUCUUUUGGUGUUGACUUUUUUGAGUACUUUAUAUAUUUGGAAUAUUAAUCUGUCAGAUGAACAGCUGGCAAAGAUUUCCUCCCAUUCUAUAGGUUGUCUGUUUACUUUCUUGAUUCUUUCCUUUGUUCUGUGAAAAAUAUUUUUAAUUUAAUAUAAUUCCAUUUAUCAAUUAUUGCUAUUAAUUCCUGAGCAAUUAAAGUCCUAUUCAGGAAAUCAUUACUUUUACCAAUAUGGUGAAGUAUUUCCCCUAUUUUUCUCUAGUAGUUUCAGUCUCAGGUCUUAAGGUCUUGGAUUCAUUUUGAGUUGUGUGUUUAUUUGUUGUUUGGUUUGGUUUGGUACUGGGGAUUGAGUCCAGCGGCAUUAUGCAACUGUGCUACAUCCCCAGUUCUUUUUAUUUUUUAUUUUGAAACAGGAUUUCUUUAAGUUGCCCAGGCUGACCUCAAACUUGGGAUCCUCCUGCCUCAGUCUUCUAAGUAACUGAGAUUAUAGGUGUGAGCUACUCCACCUGGUUUGAAUUGAUUUUUUUUUUUUUUUUGCAGGAUGAUAGUAGAGAUCUAGUUUCCAUCUUCUACCUAUAGAUUUCUAAUUUUCCCACCAUUAUUUGUUGAAGAGGCUGUCUUUUCUAUAAUGUAUGUUUUUGGGCACCUUUGUUAAAAAUCAGAUGGUUAUAGAUUCAUGGGUUUAUUUCUCAGUCUUCUGUUCUAUGGGUCUCCAUGGAUGUUUUUAUGACAGUACCAUGCUAUUUUUGUUACUACGGAUCUAUAGUAUAUUUUGAAAUCAGAUAUUUUAAUGCCUCCAGUAUUGAUCUUUUUGCUCAGGAGUGCUUUGGGUAUUCAGAAUCUUUUGUUUUCCAUAUGAAUAUGCUGACCAGAUGACCUGCUCAGUUAGAAACACAGAUGGUAUUGCCUGAUAAUCUGUCCCCUCUAGGUGCUUUCAUUCAUUGUGAAGCUUGGGAACCACUAUUUUAUGGAAUAUAAGAAGAAAAGUUACUACAGAGGGUGACUGUUUCAUAAACAAGAUAAAGACCUAUUACAUAAAUGACAGUAACAACAGGGUGACAAUGAUAAAGGAGACACAUGUGCCAUGAAAUGGUCAUGGAUAAAGGAUAUUAGGAAUUCAAGGGAAAGAGAUUGCUAUGGAGAUGAUACCUCCAAUCACACAUUCAUUCAUUGAGGAAUUCUAGGUGCUGGACAAAUAAGGCACAAUCCUCAAUCUCACGAGCUCAUAAAGAGGCAGUUCACUUGAUACUCAUGCUAGGAGACCAUGCAGUCUGUUGCUCUUCACACUGGAGGCUGUAUCAGAAACACGUGGGCAUCUGACUAAAACUCCAGAGUUUUUGGUUCAGUUAGUACUGGGCCAUGGAAAGUAGUAUUUCUAACAAGUUUCCAGCUGGUGAUGAUGCUAUUUGUCCAAACACUCAACAUCUGAGAAUCAUUUAUAGAGUCAGUAGCUUCAAGUUAGAGAUGAUAGUGCUGAUACCCAGAAAUGUGAUUUGCUCCUUGACAAAGUUAGGUGAUGGCUAAGCUGGAAAUAAAACUGUGUUCUCCAUUCAAUUCUACUUUAGUCUGCCUUGUGACACCCUGAAAAAUGGAUACCUACUUGAUCUCAUGGUGAUUCUAAUACCUGUAGGAGUAAGGAAUGGAAAACUUGAUGUUUCAUCUGGCUCUUGCUUACAUUGCAUUUCAACUUCUUAGUCCAAAAUUAAUCAUGUUUCUGAAAUUUGCAAAGUAAUUGUGAACCACCAAACAUCCUUCUUUGUGUCUGGAGAUUAAUCUGUAUAGGAAAGUAAUACAUGUUAUCACAAUAUCAUUUUUAAAAGACAAUUUGAAAGAUCCUCUAUUAUGGAAGUACCUCUCUGUUAGAUGAUGGAUUGUGGCAUUAACAAAGAACUUACCAUGUUUGUUGAGAACAAGGAAUUAAAAUAUAUCCUUGGAGAAAAAUAAUGGAGAUAAUAUGCUGUGAUUUUUUUUUUUUGGCUGAUAAUUGCUUCUAUUUCAGAAGUAUGCGUGCUUUAUCCAUAAAUCCAUGAUUAAGUCCUCUAAUUCUGUAAAUUAGAGAAAAUAUAUUAAUCUCUUUUUGAAUGGUGAUAAAGAUAGAUUUCCCCCAAAUUUAAUUAAUCUACUUUGCAUUCUUGAACGAUUGCAUGAAAAACUGAGACCCUUCAGCACAAAUCAUGUAAUUGCAUUUCAAAUGAUAAUGUGGAAAAAUUGGACAUGCAUGAAAAUAAUACAUUCUGAAUUAUAUUAUGACUCCCUUUGAUAAUUUCAAAAUGUAGUUUUAAUUGCUUUCAUUUUAAAUCACAUCUUGCAAGAAACCACUCUGUUUACCCGAAGGUUAGGACCGAGGAAGAACUAGAAAUGAGGAAGAGAAGUAGCAGCCAGCUGAGAUCUUGG